GCCCUAGUAGCUCAGCACAAGAGCGCCGGCCUUGUAAGCCGGAGGUCGGAGACUAAAUUCCUCCCUAGCGCU
rnacentral:tRNA from 1 species